AAUCGGUCUGUUCGGAGAGAGUCCGGCGCGAGCCGGAACGCCGAAGGCGCAAUUCCGCCCGGAAACGCUCAGGCACACGAACGGCAGACGGCGG
rnacentral:ncRNA from 2 species